rnacentral:lncRNA from 1 species
CCCAAUUAGAAAAAUAGGAUUUUUUACUUCUUCUUCUCCCCAAUUCAUCGAACAGACAACAAAUUUGGGUUUUUUACUUCUUCUUCUCCCCAAUUCAUCAAUCAAUCAAUGGCAGACAAAAUGAUGUUCGUGGCAAUUUGCAAUUGAACUUCAAAUUUUUGGGUAAUUUUCUUUUUUCUGAUUCAAAUUCUUCUUAUUCUGCGAUUGAUCUCAGGGACCUCAUGAUGUUGGAUGUAACUAUACUUUGAUUGGUUUGACAAUGAAGAAGUUAAU